GACGAACGCUGGCGGCGUGCUUAACACAUGCAAGUCGAACGAAAAGACCCUGCUUUUGUGGGGUUCUCGAGUGGCGAAGGGGUGAGUAACACGUGAGUAACCUGCCCUUGACUUUGGGGUAACAUCAGGAGACUGGGGCUAAUACCGCAUAGGAGCUCCUGCUGCAUGGUGGGGGUUGGAAAGUUUCGGCGGUUGGGGAUGGACUCGCGGUUUAUGCGCGUGUUGGUGGGGUUGUGACGUACAAAGGCUUUGACGGGUAGCCGGCCUGGGAGGGUGACCGGGCACAGUGGGCCUGGGAUAGGACCCGGACGCAUACGGGAGGCAGGAGUGGGGACUAGUGCAAAAUGGGCGGAGGCCGGAUGCAGGAACUCCGCGUGGGAGAUGACGGUUUUCGGGUAGGAACCCGCGUUCGCCUGUGACGAAGCGUGAGGGCCGUUACUGGGUAAAGAAGCACCGGCUACUUACGU
rnacentral:rRNA from 1 species